UGGGGAAUAUUGCGCAAUGGGCGAAAGCCUGACGCAGCGACGCCGCGUGGGGGAUGAAGCAUUUCGGUGUGUAAACCCCUGUUGCUCGGGACGAACAACUGGUUUUGACCAGUCUGACGGUACCGGGUGAGGAAGCACCGGCUAACUCCGUGCCAGCAGCCGCGGUAAUACGGAGGGUGCGAGCGUUGUCCGGAAUCACUGGGCGUAAAGGGCGCGUAGGCGGUCUGCUAAGCGUGCGGUGAAAGCCUGGGGCUCAACCCCAGGUCUGCCGUGCGAACUGGUGGACUUGAGCACUGUAGAGGCAGGUGGAAUUCCGGGUGUAGCGGUGGAAUGCGUAGAGAUCCGGAAGAACACCAGUGGCGAAGGCGGCCUGCUGGGCAGUUGCUGACGCUGAGGCGCGACAGCGUGGGGAGCAAACA
rnacentral:rRNA from 1 species